rnacentral:rRNA from 1 species
AACGAACGCUGGCGGCAGGCUUAACACAUGCAAGUCGAACGCCCCGCAAGGGGAGUGCAGACGGGUGAGUAACGCGUGGGGACAUACCCUUUCCUGCGGAAUAGCUCUGGGAAACUGGAAUUAAUACCGCAUACGCCCUACGGGGGAAAGAUUUAUCGGGGAAGGAUUGGCCCGCGUUGGAUUAGCUAGUUGGUGGGGUAAAGGCCUACCAAGGCGACGAUCCAUAGCUGGUCUGAGAGGAUGAUCAGCCACAUUGGGACUGAGACACGGCCCAAACUCCUACGGGAGGCAGCAGUGGGGAAUAUUGGACAAUGGGCGCAAGCCUGAUCCAGCCAUGCCGCGUGAGUGAUGAAGGCCUUAGGGUUGUAAAGCUCUUUCACCGAUGAAGAUAAUGACGGUAGUCGGAGAAGAAGCCCCGGCUAACUUCAUGCCAGCAGCCGCCGUAAAAC